rnacentral:rRNA from 1 species
AUUGAACGCUGGCGGAAUGCUUUACACAUGCAAGUCGAACGGCAGCACGGACUUCGGUCUGGUGGCGAGUGGCGAACGGGUGAGUAAUGUAUCGGAACGUGCCCAGUCGUGGGGGAUAACGUAGUGAAAAUUACGCUAAUACCGCAUACGAUCGAUGGAUGAAAGCGGGGGAUCGCAAGACCUCGCGCGAUUGGAGCGGCCGAUAUCAGAUUAGGUGGUUGGUGGGGUAAAGGCCCACCAAGCCAACGAUCUGUAGCUGGUCUGAGAGGACGACCAGCCACACUGGAACUGAGACACGGUCCAGACUCCUACGGGAGGCAGCAGUGGGGAAUUUUGGACAAUGGGCGAAAGCCUGAUCCAGCCAUUCCGCGUGCAGGAUGAAGGCCCUCGGGUUGUAAACUGCUUUUGUACAGAACGAAAAGGUUUCUACUAAUACUAGGAGCUCAUGACGGUACUGUAAGAAUAAGCACCGGCUAACUACGUGCCAGCCGCCGCGGUAA